rnacentral:rRNA from 1 species
UACGGAGGGUGCGAGCGUUGUCCGGAAUCAUUGGGCGUAAAGGGCGCGUAGGUGGCCCGGUCAGUUCGUGGUGAAAGCGCGGGGCUCAACCCUGCGUCGGCCAUGAAUACUGCCGCGGCUGGAGCACUGUAGAGGCAGGCGGAAUGCCGGGUGUAGCGGUGGAAUGCGUAGAGAUCCGGAAGAACACCGGUGGCGAAGGCGGCCUGCUGGGCAGUUGCUGACACUGAGGCGCGACAGCGUGGGGAGCAAACAGG